GACCGCUCCGGUGGCUUAAUGGUGAGAGCGUCCGUCUGGGAUGCGAAAGGUCGUGGGUACUAUCCCCGGCCGAGUCA